GGGGAAGGAAGGUAGUGGGGCAAUGUAAACAUGGGGGAGAGAGGGGAAGGUAGUGGGGCAAUGUAAACAUGAGGAGAGAUGGAGAGAGGGGAAGGAAGGUAGUGGGGCAAUGUAAACAUGGGGGAGAGGGGGGAAGGUAGUGGGGCAAUGUAAACAUGGGGGAGAGAUGGAGAGAGGGGAAGGAAGGUAGUGAGAAAAAGAAGAGCUGUACGGAAGGCUGGAGUGAUGGGGUGAACACUGUCAGAGAAGAAAACGUGGAGAAAGGGAUGGAGAAACAGAUGAGUGUUUCCCAACAACAGGUCAGGACCUAUUGGGUCGCUGCUAUUCCUUUUGGGACACACCUAAACACAAGAUUAAACCCAAACACACUGCUUUGGUUUAUUGGGCAGGC
ensembl:lncRNA